rnacentral:tRNA from 1 species
CGUCCCUUCGUCUAACAGGAAUAGGACAUCGCCCUUUCACGGCGGCAAUACGGGUUCGAGUCCCGUAGGGAUGA